rnacentral:rRNA from 1 species
UACGAAGGGAGCUAGCGUUGUUCGGAAUCACUGGGCGUAAAGCGCACGUAGGCGGAUGUGUCAGUCAGGGGUGAAAUCCCGGAGCUCAACUUCGGAACUGCCCUUGAUACAGCACGUCUUGAGUCCGGAAGAGGUGGGUGGAAUUCCUAGUGUAGAGGUGAAAUUCGUAGAUAUUAGGAAGAACACCGGUGGCGAAGGCGGCCCGACUAG